CCCAGGGCUAUACAUAUGGCAACUGCACACACAGUCCUACUUGCAGAUGGGGCUUAGGCUAAAUGCUAGGCUUUGUGGCAUUUCUGUGCUAAUCUCUGAAGGCUUUUGGAUACACCCCUGAGGCAGUGCACUUCUAGAACCCCUGCUUGGCCAGACAGAAGUUUGGCUUCCCUGGGGUUAAAUCCCAAGAAGAUUUCAGUGGUAGUUAAGUUGGAUGUAGGCAGGUGGAAGUGUACAGCACUGCAAAAUGUAACUCCAUUGCCUCUUGGUUUUACUAAUGCCUCAAAGGAGGGCUGGCUCAUUCUAAGUGCAGUGCAAUAUCUAAGUAGAAAAAGAGAUGUUUGGAAAAAUCAUUCAUUAUAUUUUUCAGAAUAAAGCAAUCACAUCUUCCUUAGCAGAGAAUGCAAAGAAAGCUGUAAAUAUCACAGCUGCUCACUGGCAACUAGGAAAAAAAAAGAGUCAAAUUCAAAGCUUGCCACUUCUAUUCACAGUGAAUGACUUAGGAGUCAAAAGAAGAACAGGGUGUGUACAGUCUGAAGAGAAUAUUGCUGGUAAAAUUCUAAGGAUGCCUCCUAAAACUGGCAAUUGCUCACCAUGUCAGCUGGAAUAAAGUUUGUCACAUUGUAUGUCCAGAUGCAAUAUGGUGAUAUAUGCAAUUUCAGUCACUCUUUCCAAAUUGUGGGCUUUAUCUGAAAUGCUCUCAUACCCCAAACCGUCUGCAUUUUCAUUAAAAGAAUGAAUGUUCCUGUCAUCAUCUUGGUAGGAACGCCAACAGGAAAUAAGCUACCUCUAAAUGAAAAGAUGCAUUUUAUUGUUUGCAAAGCUGGGGAAAUAUGAAUCAAACUUACAACUUGGCUGGCAGGUGGUUUGUUUGGAGUAUGGAAUUAGUGCCUUUGUAGGGGUCUGACAAAUAGCCUGGGGUCUCAGACAAUGCACUGGCAUCCUGGUGGCUGCAUGAUCUUACAGAGAGCAUUAACUUCUCUGUGCCUCAGUUUCUUCAUCAGUAAAACUGUGAUAAUCAUUUUCUGCUGGAGUUUCCAGCUAAUAGGCUUGUUAUGCCCUGCAAAGCACUCAGAGAUCUCCAUCUGGAACAAACUACAGAAGUGCAAGUAUUAUUGCUAUUAGAAGUCCAUUACAGCUCUGUUUUGCUUUGUUCGUACUGGCCCUUUGGUACGUGCAGCUAGACAGCUCCUAAUGUUAUCUUGAUGCACAAAGCACUUUUUGUGUGAGGUUUGACUCACACUAAAAUGCCAGUUAGAAUUUUGUCCUCGGGAACUCACUGGAGCUUGGCUUACAGAAUCUGAAAAUUAAAUCAACCAAAAUAGGUCAAACACAAAACUAUAUGUCCUUAUGUGUCCUCUUGUCCUCUUUAGCAGUAUAGCGCAUAGUUGUUGUUUUCUUAUCUGUAAAGUUUGGGCCUGUUUUGUUCCUCAGCCAGCUUUGCUACUGAUAUCUUGGUUACAUUUUGAAUACCUGCUCUUGAGAAUUUUCUGUUCCCAUUAAAUAUAGUUUAGAAGGACACGCUCAUCUGUUAGUGGUCCAGAAAUAACGUGCUGAAUGCACCAGCAGCUGAUGCGACUGAACGCGAUACAAAAGUGUAUCAUUCUGUUAGAGUUUGUUGGUAGGCAUCAUUAUGGAAAUGUUUUUGAGCCUUAAAAAAGGGAAUAGUGUAUCGGAAAUUGAAUCAAACGUUAACAGAAGCUGCAGUUUGUGGUUUACUUUUCCCUCGUAGCUAGUUCUUUAGGAAUUAUUCCUGUUCACAUAAUCCUUUAAGUUAAUGUAUUUAUUCCGUGCGUGCUUUAUAAUUUCUAUUCAUUCAUAUGUCAAGUAGCUGAAGGUGCUGCUUCAAUUAGUAUUUACUUCAGUGUUAUACUGUUUUGAAUUGGUUGUUUGUUACAGUCACAAUGCAGUGAAUAAACGUGUUAAUAUUUGAAGUGGGAAGGGAGGUAAAAUGGGAAACCGUCUGCUCCAGUCGCGGCCCAGCUUUCUGGUUACAACAUAUUAUAAUUUAUUUAAACCCAAUCAAUACUUAAUCUGGAGUUUAAAUUCCGCUAAAGAUCUGUGGCAUAGCUAAAAGCAGCUGAUGCCAAAGAAAAAAAAUUUCUUCAGGCUGUGAUUCUGAUGAAUUUAUAAUGCGCUCUAAGGGUGAUGCAUUGACCUAAAUUCACAGAAGCGCUGCAAUUCGUAUUUAUUAUUGUGAAAGGUGUCCUACCAACACUUUUCUUCUUCUGAAUGUUGAGAGCCUGUGUGAGAAAGAUGGGCGGCUGCAGAGGAAGGAGCUGCACGCACAGCCCGGGAGGGUGGGAUGGGACUGAGCGCGGCCCUGUGCCGCACACCGGGCGGUGAGUCACUGUGACCCCGAGAUUCAAGGCAGGAAUUAAUUCAGCACUGCAAAAAUCUGGCAAAUGUUUGAAGCCAGCAGUGAAAGCAGACUUCCUGAGAGGUGUGUGUUUGUGGUGACAAUUUGGAUUUAUUUUGCUGGCAAUGCAAAAGACAUUGUUACGGCAGGAAGAAGACAGUUGUGUUAAAAACUGCUUCUCUUUUUUAGUUCUCCCCCCCCCCCAGCCUUUCUGGGGAAAUAGAUUGUGAUCUCUGCGGGGUUUGGUUUUCUCUGUACAGCUCUUUAAACUCCCCCAGGCACAGCCAUCUCAGGGCAGGGCCCACGGGCAGCUCCUACCAGCACUGCAGGGAUGUGCACACACCAUUCUCUUGUAAGGUCUGGGCAACCUCAUAUUUCCCAGCACAUUUUGGCAAGCUUUUACUCAGAGUGGUCCAACAGCUUUUCAUAGUAAGUGAAUGACUUCCCAGUGACCUGAGCCCUCUUCCAAGCCUCCUUUGUCACCCUGACAGCUUGCAGUCAUGCUUUUCUGAUCUUGUGCAAAGCUAUAUGUUUUACCAGAUCUGUAACUGCAGGAGACUUGGUUGUUCUGAAAAUUAACUGGAUGAAUAAGGGAAAUGUAUAGUGGAUAAAGGCUGACAAUCAUCCCCACUUCUUUUAUGAUACAAUGCCCUGCCCUCAUGAGAAGGGAGAAGAGCUCAAUUCUCCCUCCUAAUUGAUAGGUGCAUACUUGUCAGAUGUGGUUUCCCCAGGCAGUCUGUAAGGCAGGACUCACCCCCACACACCGUUCAUCCCCAGUCCCUCACCUGUGUGCUUCUGGGGCAUCACAUCAGACACUCUCCCAGCAUGUGUCUUCUUGCUCUAUUUUGUGCCCGCCUCUGCCCAUAUUGCUGCUGUAGUGGUUUAUGCCAGAAUAAAUAUGGGCUAGCAUAAAUCCUCAGGCUUGGAAGGCAUUAGCCUGCCUUUACUGUAGCACAAUCGACAGCUGUACCUGGCACCACGACCUCAUUGCACCCCAGCGUGGCAGCAUCCAGAGCCUUGAUGCAUUGGAGGAGCAGAGCCACAUGCUUGCUGAGGUUUGUUCCUCUGGGCUGGCCCUGAGGAUGAGAACAGCAUGCAAACACAGCUUCUCAGCAGGAGCAACUAUUAGUUUCAGCUUUAACCUUUACUUAAAAAUAUGAAGCUGCUGAGCAAAAAUGCAAAGGCUUAGUGUUCAAACUCACGCCUAACUCAGAGAGCUGGGUUCCUAGAACCAACUGUGAAUUUCAGUUUAGCAGCAAGGAAGUUUAUGUUCAACUUCAGUUUUUCUUCCAGCUAUAAUGCUCAAAGGGAGUACUUCAGUAUCUGUCUUGCUUUUUGUUAGGGAGAUGAAACAAAACAAAACACCAUUUGUCAUAAUUCUUUGGGAUUGCUAUUAUGGCCAGGAGAAAAGCGGGCUUCUGCUAGUUCAUGUACGAGUCAAAAGAAAGGCAUAUUCCUUUCCCCACAGGAUCCCAAGUGGAAGAGUUGGUGGAUAGGUAAGAUAAAAAUGGGUAUAGAUUGUGAGAGACAGGCUGACAAAAAAAAGUGCGUGCAGUUUUUUCACUAUUCUAGAGCAGUAAUUGUACUUUGCUUACAUACCUAAGCAUGUUUAGGUGGCAAUUUUCUUUCCUUGUAACAGAAGAGGUGACUUUCAAGAGAAUAAUCUGAAGGAGGUUGUGGUGGAUGACUGUUUUCCUUGUUGUUGGUUUUUUUUGUUUGUUUGUUUUAUUUUGUUUCUUUAAAUUCAGAAUGUUUUUUACCAGGUCAACAGGCCAAUUUCUCUCCAUUGUUCACAAAGCUAUUGGGUAUUUUUUUUUCCUUCCCACUGUGCCUUGAAAAAACAACUUCACUUAAGUUCAUGUGUGAAACCUUUUGCACAACAGAAGUGGUUUCUUGUGGCCAGUAAGACUAAAUGUUCUGAGCAUUCCAGGAAGCAUAUAAAUAGACUGAUACUCUUCCUAAGGUUAUAGAGCAUUAUUUCUCCCUUUUUUUCUUUAUUUCUCCUCCUGUCCUACUCCCCUACCUUCAGUUACGCUCUCUCCAUCUAGGCAAAGACCAAACAAAGUGCAGUGUUUGAAAAUCCUGACCAUCAUUUUCCAUUUUACUUGGGUUUUCCUCAGUUACAUGUUCUGAAUAGAAAUUGUUCGAGUAAAUGCAGCACAGUAAAUUAUCUUAAAUUACUUCUUAUAGUCCAGACUAGUAUUAUAACAUGAAAAUUGUUACUUGGAGUCUCCCACGCCCCUGGCUGCUGCAGACCUGUGUCUCCAGGCUGGGGAGAAAUGGAUCACAGUACUUAUCCAGCAGAGCCUGCAGGCCAAUCCACAAUGUGGAAAGUGGAGUUCACAUAAAGGAGGUCUCUUAUCCUUUCCUCUCAAUCCUGCUAGAUACAGCAAAGCUGUCACAAUGGUCAAAUAUAAUUAAAAUGGUGAUCUGCCACUGAAGGGUAGGCCAAUGUCUAUGCAGAAACCAGAUGAGGAAUUAUUCAAGCCAAAAACAUUAAAUCUCAGCUCAUCCGUGGUUACCAUAAAACAGCCAUCCUGUUCCUUUGAUCUAUGAUGAAUUUGAAUGUGUGUUAAUAAGACAUAUAUGCUGGGCAUCAACAUCAUCUUCUGUUGAACGAAGGUAAACACUGCAUUCGUCUCUGUAAAAUAUACUUCAGUAGUUGGGAAGAAAGUGGAGAUUCAUUAUUUUUGCAGUUGUAGAAGACAUUUAGCAGCUGUGUUUAUACUGGCAGACAAUUUGGAUAUUAGGUGGCAGGACAGAGAACUGCAGAUGCACGAUAUCGUGCAGACAUUGUGCACUUACAGCACAUUUCCAGGGAAACAUGUUAUUUUAUAUUUCCCUUGGUGUCAUUAAUCACAUUUCAUGAUGUAUCUCACUAUUUCAACUCAUUCCCCUAGAUUCAUUCAUUUUUUUGGCCUGUUUAUUUAAUAGUUAUUGAGCUCCAUUUCAACAAAUUCCAUCUUAACCACAGAUAAUAAAGUUCCUUUUGCUUCAGGGGAGAAAAUUAAGAUGGCCCUGUACUGAUUUCAGGGACUACCUGUAAUAGUCAGCAUGUCUGCUGCAUCAGAAAGAUACUUUGUUUGCCUUUGGUCAGAAAAAUGUUCAUGCUGUUCUUUGCAACUUAAAAAUUAAACUCAUUUCCUGAAAGUAAAAAUAUGAUUCUUAUCUUGAACUAUAAAGGAAAACAGCUGCACUUUAUUCUGUUCUCGAAGUUCUCUAAUCUCUCUGGAGGCUUUGUUUUGGUUUCACAGGUGAAUCCCUUAAACUGCAGCAGCAAUGAUGGCUCCUCCUUGGCAGAAACAUGCUGAGAGGCAGUUGGGAAUCCCCUGCUCUGGAGCUGCAGCCUGAGGAACCUCAGCGUGUAAGAAGCGUCUCUGAGGCACUCACAUGGUGAUGGUUAUACAUCUCCUGCUUACCCCAACUUAGUGAAAGCUGUCUUCAAGCAAAUAAGACUGGCAGCAAGGCUGGGAGUGCAAUCACCUGCUGGCAUAAUCCCUGGACUCUUCUUAAAGGAAUUCUAAAAAGGGAAACUCAGGAAUGCCUACCUGACUGUCCAGAGAACUGCCAUCCAGAGGAGCAUCCUACAGCAGCACAAGCAUUUCAUCUUCUGGAUUUGUGGAGACAUGUGGGAUUUGUUGAUGCUGAAGGCAGGAGGAAGUCAAGGGAGAAAAAAAGAAUUCUGGGAGGAAACUUGGUAAAACCGAAGAUCCAAAGUGAAACAUCAGGAAACAUCACCAAAAUGAAGCCCGUUGGAUGUUUGCAGCUGUUUCUUUAGUCCUGAUUAACAGGGAUUUUCUGAGAAGAGCUGCACAAGUGCAGUCCCCAUUCAGCGUACAGAUUUUCCAGAGUGAUCUCCAAGUUGUAAUGGACAACCUCUUUCCUGCCAGCAGAGCCCAGAGAGGAAUAAACCAAGACCACCAGCUAAGUCAUUGUGUAAUGUGCUGUGGAUAUGAGCAUCGAAUGCCCUCAGUGGCAAUGACUCAGGACCAAAUCAUCCUUUUGCGGGAAUUACCUACGAAGGAAACUGGACGCUCCAUGGCAUCUGUGUCAUCCUUCCCUCCAGAUGGUGCCUCCAAAUCUGUUCUGAAAUGGCAUGUGCAAAGCAAAUCCAGAGUGCCUAUCAUUCAGCCCUCUGAUGGCAACUCUCAGACAACUCGGGGACAGACAGAACACAAAACCAGAAAUAAGGACUUGCAACCGUGGCUGAAGAUGCCCAGAGAGUCGUGUAUGUAACAGCCAGCGAGAGGCAGAUGACAGCAACAAGAAAUUUCACAGCUCCAAAGAGUGAACGUACCACGGAUUAGUACCGGAGACAGAAAUACUUCUAUGAAAACCAUGAAGGAAGUUCCGGAAUCUAGAGUAACUCUCGGAUGCACAGAACUGGAGACUUAAAAGAUCCUCAGUUCCCCCAGGACCUGAGCAUGUAGAAACGUGGGGGCCUGGCUGUCCUUCUGGUCUGCACGCGUGGCCUCAAGCCCGAAUCCCUACAACAGCAUCUCCACUGGCAGCAAAGCGCUUCUUUGCCCUUUACCACUGAACUGCUGUGGCUUGAUUGUGUGAAACUGAGUUUCAGGAUGCAAGAUACUGUUCAGAUAGUUCUGCAAUACAUUCUUCAGACCCAGCAGCUUUGGCAGGCCCGUGGAUGAUGGAAUAACCAGAUCUCUGCGGCCACCCCUGAAAAACAGAUUCUUUCUUCUGGAUUCCCUGGGAUUCUCUCAGCAGCCAGCCUUGUUUACAGAAGUCAGCGCGGACAGUAACAGCCCUUCACCAAUGAGCCACAGUGGACCCUUUGGGGAAGGCUCCUCACGGUGCUCUGUCAUCUGCUGACAAAGUGGUGCCAGGACCAGAACUUCACAAUGAACUCUGCGGAGAAAAAUCCACAGCAGAUGAAGGAAUCUCGAAGUCAGUGACAGGUAGACUCAGGCUUAAAGUGAGAGGAUCCCCCACGUCACUGGUUUCAACUAGAGGAUACGUCUGUGCUAUGAGAAUACUCAGUAUGAGAAACGUGCUGCGAAACAGAGGCAGCCAGUUGGAGCAGUGCUUCAGACUAAGCUGAGGUCAGUUUUAGAAUCACAGAACACUUCAGGCUGGACAGGAACUCUUGAUGUCACCUCAAUCCACGCCCUGCUCAAAGAAGGUCUCACUACGUCAGAUCGCUCAAGGCUGCAGCCAGUCAAGUUGAACCCUCAAAUGGGGAGCCUCUGCUGAAUGCUGGUUACUGCAAGGAAAGCAAUUGUGAGGACUUUUGUGGCAAAGAGGUGCUUUAAAGAAGUAAACUUUGGAAACACAGCUGAUUUUUAAUACUUCAGCCCCAGUCACUGGCAAUAGAAGGGAUUUGAUUGGGAUGAGUGCUAAGAGUCCUUCUGCUGUGCUCGGUCAGCUACCCCACCAGAAAUGAACGUGUGACAUGUUAUUUAAACUGAGAAGUUGAUAGCAUUGAAUACAUCUGUUUGUAUAAACUAGCUGGCUAUCCCCUUGCCAUCUCUAACGUAAAUCUACUAAGGUAUUGUGAAACUUCAUUUAUUUUAAGCUUGCAGUAUUUACCUGUGCAAAUCAUACAAGAAGCGUCCUUUCUAACUUCCAUGCCAUUUUUCUACUGAGUUAUUUGUUGGAAAGAUAUGUUCCUGUAUAAUUAAAUGUGGUUUUCUGAAACCUUUGCAGUUGGUAGCUUAAUAUAUAUUUUGUUGUACUUUGAGUACAAAGGAUGUAUUAUGCUUUUGUUGGCAUCCUUACUAGUCAGUGUGCCAACUGCAUAAUUUGGUUCUCUGCUAUAUGUCAGGAUUUGAGCGCCGAGGGCUCAACAGGUGGUGCUGGGAUAAAGUUCUGGCAAAUCAAAUAGGUAGCGCAGUUAUUUCUUUUGUCAAAUUAUAAUUGAAAACAGAGACAAGUAAAAUGAAGCUCAUGUUUUCCUGGUGCAAAACAGGGUUUAGAAUUCAAUUCAAAUCAGUUCACAUGACGAAUACACAUUACUACUGGAGCUUGGUCUGUAAAUAAACAUGCAGCACCUUAGUUUUGAUGUAGAAUGAUUCGUUCUUUGCAAAUUUAAACCAUAAGUGUCAGCAUUUAAACAAUAACAGAGGGCGUGAGUCCUCCAUGACUCUUCUGUCUUUGUCAUGCAUAUCUUGCAGAAAAUGUGCCAAAAUCUUCAGGAAAACUUUGAGAAGAUUUAAAUCUAAAAAGUCAGAGAAUUUGAGGCUGUCUGUGAUACGUAACUCAAAUGCUUAGCAUCAGGAGUUUCCUGCCAUAUUGUUUUCUAACCAUCGCUCUACCUGUGACCCCAGCAGAAAAUGGCAAAAAUACACUGGAAAUUCCAGUGAAUGUGCUGCAUGAGGUGCUGCUUGUUUUAUACUUGUCUUGGAUAAUGUUUAUUGAUCCUAAAACCAUACAAAUGGGUUAAAACCCAUUCUGCAACAAAAAUACAACAGAUGAUGGAGGCACAGUUUGGUUUUCCAAAAUUGUAUAUAAAAAGAUCUAUGCACUUGCAAGCCUUUUCCCUUUGUUAUUGUAGCUGAUGUUUUUACAGUGAGAUCUUGUUAUUUUCCUCUGAGGACCUCUCUCAAUAUGAUAUAUAUAAUCUUAUCUACAGCUCCUACAGACACUGUGGUUUUAGUUAGUUUUCUGUUUCUACUCACUCAAAUGGAUUUGUUCUGAGCUGUAGUUUUCAGACUUCGAGUUCUGAACCCAUCACGUACCAAAGCAGCUUCCAGCAGUGGCCUCCAGUUCCUCACACUGGUCGCAUACAUCUUUAUGACACUAUUAAGCUCUCAUUUUAGUGAAGGUUUUGCCUUUAUACGUGACCAGGUGAUGCUUCCUCUUCUGCCACUUAAUAAGUAAGUCAUUCCGUAAGUGAUUGUUAACUAAUUAGUGUGAGAAAAGGUUAUCACAUUCAACUUCUAUUGAAUUCCUAACAGGCAACCAUUUCAGGUUACCACAGGUAUCUGCACGAGGUUGAGAUCCAAUUGCAAUCGGAGGGAUGGUUGUAGGGGAGAAAGUAAUUCCGGUGCUCUGGUCAUUUUGUUAUUUAUAUAUAUAUAUUUAAAAUAAACAUGUGGAAUAUUUAUCUUAAACCUCAGGUAACUGUUUAGAAAAGAAACAGCUGAGAAGCUGAUAAUGUACCCCUUUCACUGACAAAAGAUUUAUGUCUUGCCUGGCCGGACUUCCCAAUGGUCAAACAGAAGCAGCACGUAGCCCAGUGUUUAUCCAGGGGAACUGAGACCGCUGCUUCCACGCUUUUUCAUGUGAAAUUAAUUCAGCCACGUUGAAACUGGCCAAGAAUCAAAAACGUGAUAAAAUUCCUAUUAAAAGAGUGGGAGAGCGGCUCGGAAGCAGUUUGUGCAAAAAUAUGUAGGCACGAACAUUUCUGGUGACCUUCCUCAGGAGCCAUCUGGCUGCUUGCAGGGCACCCCCUCUCCCUUUGGGGAGCAGGUGAAGAGUUCAGCUCAUCUUAGUUGUGAAAUGAGAAUCUGCAAUAAGAAACAAGCUCUUGGAAUUCAAAGAUGUAUUAUUUCGUGCCAUUCUAUUGCAGGAAAAAUGGCAGAAUCUUCUGUGGCACUCACAAAUGGGGUAACAACAAUUUUUUUUCAGAUUCUUAGUAGUGCUAAAAUCUGAACGGAAUCUGGCCUUUGCUCUUUCAUGUACAGCAUUUGAUUAACUGUGAUUCCAAAAGGUUCAGGCACCCAAGUAUGUGCUUAUGUGAGUGGGAGUACAACGUACCUACGCCUACCUACGUGUGCUUACCUACAGACAUUUUUAUUUUCAAUGUUCUGAUUCCAGCGGCCUUUUCAAGAGACAAAAGAAAGUUAAAAAUAAAAUUAGAGCCUAAAAACAAUGGAUUUGCAGUAGCCAGCACAAUGCCAGUCUGCACUGUUGCGAAAGACCUGUGCAUAAACAUUCAUAGGGAUGAAUUCAGAGGUGAUGGGCGACACAGACUGAGGAAAAGGAGCCCAGAGAGUAGGUAAUAAUAAAGAAAAUCAUGAAAAGAGGAAACAGAGAAGGAAAAGCAGCUAAGUGAAAGGUAUGUAACACCUAAUCUAAAGCACAUUUCUCUCUCCUUCAGCGCACACAAAACUUUUACCGGUUCCUUUUUAUGGUUAUUGAAUGCCUACAUUACCUGAAAGUGGAAUUUAUUGAGCUGAGUGUUAAACUCUAAGUUUUACAAAUAAGCUUCCGUACAAAAAUAUUUAUUAUCUGUAACGUACAUCAUCAGCUCUUACACUCCCACUGCGUUCAUCCAUUGUCUCCCAAUACAGUUACCGUGAACGUAUGUCAGAAUAUACGUCAGCCUCAGAAAUACACACUUGUACUGCAGUGACUAUUUUCUAUUCCUUAUUUCUUUGCCUCUAUUUUAAACAACGGAUGUGUACGUUUGCUUAGAACCUAGCUUCUGAAACAGAAGGACAAAAUUACUGGUUCUGACAGCUGUGAAAACAUUUCCAUAAUACAGAAAAUCUAAAUGCCUCUUCAUUCAAUCACUUUCUCAAUGAAAACAUCCCAGGAUUAAAGAAAUCCAGGGAAAGAGAAAAGAUUAACCUAGAAAAGGCAAAUAAGCAAGUGAAUAAAGCUGGGUUUAUUGCUUCCUGCUUCAACAAUGUCCAACAAGAUCUGGGCCAUGGUGCCACAGCUUUCACACGCGUGUGCAGUGGACACAGCUCCCCUGCAUGCAAACAAUGCACCAGCUUGCGUGAAGUGAAUUGGGGCCAGCACAAUUGUUUGAAGGAGGAGGGAUGCACAGUCACUGGAAGCACAGAAGCGCCUUUUCUCUCUGGUUUCAUGCAGCUGACAUACCGAGCAGAGGAGCCAGAGAGAACAUGUAAUGGAAAUAAAUGACUUUGCAGACCCAACGGAAGGAGGUGGGAGCGAAAAAGCAUCCUCACCCCCUGCCCGGCGGCUGCGUAAAUCUGUCCCUGCCAGGAGAGCUCCGGGAGGUGCUCAGCGGCCGCCUCCCCAGGAGUCAGUGAGAGUUCAGGUGCUUACUGUGUCAUCAGGCUUGACCUUCACAUGCGACACUGCCAGGACGUUUGUUUUCCCACAGCAGUGAUUGCUUCAGUCAAUUAUUAUUGCCCAUCGUAGAGUGCAAACACAUAAGGGCUUGAUUUACAGUGCAAAAAUAUACAUCCUGAAUUUACUUCCUCUUUUGUUUUUGGACUGUCAUAGCAUCUCCACCUUAAAGAGAUGACAGCAAAUUACUUCAUAGGUAAAUAUAUGUAUGUAUAGGGAAGGAUAAAUAGCAGUCAUUCGGGUCAUUGUGAGAUGAACGUUCAGUAUAGCUUCAGAUCGGCUGUGUCAGACGUGACAAUAUAUUUUAAGCUUUUUGUUUUAAAAUUUUCAUUUUUUCUGCUUUUCUUUGAAGAAAUCAUCAUUCGCAAAUUUUGCAAGUUGGCAAUCUAACCUCUAAAUCCAUUCUAACGCAGAUUUAAGAUUGUGCAUUCAGUUCCUUAAGCAAUGUUUAGGUAUUACCAAUAUACUGAAAGAUAGAUGAGACAGCCUCAUGGUAAUACAGCUUUUAACCUUUCCUCUCCUCUACCAUGACGGGGGAGAAUUACAGUAAAUGAUGGUUACCUUGUCUGCAGUAUGGACAAUUGAUUUGACCUCACUGCAUCUGAUGCUCUAAUGGACUUUGUGGCUGAAUCCCUGGAGAUAUAAAAUAUGUCCAAGUGAAUUGGGGCAGGUUAAAGAACGGACCUGCUUUUCAUGGCUGGCUCAAGCUAUAAUAGAUCUCCCGGUUGUUCUGAGAAGAAGAUUAAAAAUGAUCAAUAUCCAAAUCAUUAAAAAAAAAAAGCGGUGGCUUCUGUAAAUCUACCAUAGGUGGGUUUUUUUUCCUGCUAAACGCCGGAGGAGGGUGUCUGGGUUGAUAACGUGAGUUUCCAUAACAAAUGUUUACUUCUGUUUACUCUCUAGUAACAUGUUCCUUUUUAUAUUAAGACUCAGACACACAGAUGGCGUGAUUCAGCACUGCUUUCCUGAAGUCAUGCUUGUUUACACCAUGAAGAGUCAGGCCUUAGGUUUAUUUAAUAUAGAUAAAAUAACAAUACUAUAAUAUUUCCUGAAGCAGAAAAUAAAAUCAAGGACAGAUUUCAGAGAAUGAUGGCAACUGCGAUAACUGUGAACAUCCUCACAGUUCUGCUAGCCACAGUGUCUAAGACAAAAAUAAAGGUUUAAUUUAGUGAGGAAAAAAGAAAAAAAAGAUUUUCCUUGGCUGCUCUGAGUCCUUCAUUUGGCAAAGUGCAAUUGAACAUCUUGUUUAUCCUUUCCCACCCUCUCACGAACAUCUCUGCUCUUUUCUCACCAGCACACAACUGAGCUCAAGGUGAGUGUAAGUCUGUCCAGCCCCUGGAGGUGCCAGGAGAAAAGCUUUCACAGCCCACAGCUGGGAGCUCACCCACAGACCUUCCUCUCUACAUACAGCAGCAAUGGGGCAGGCAACUUCAGUGGGCUUAUACGUAUGCACAUGCUUAGCUUCCUGUAAAACCCAUGCAUUAAGGAGACAGAUGCACAGCUGUUCCAUCUGAGGCAUGCAUGUAUUGGUUUCUGCACUUAUUCAGUAAACUUGAAAUGCAGAGGAGCCCAAAUCUCUGUUCUGAACAGUUUGAGGUUGUUUGGAUCUGACAUCUCUGUGCGUUCACUGACAGAAAUAAGCUAAUUAUGAACCUGAGUUGGAAGAGGGAUGCCCUUUUUCUGAGUUUUGAGAAGUGUCUGGGCAGAGUAAUUGGACUGCCCUAUCUCAACUGCGUUACAGCAAUCGAGCAAAUGCGAAAAGUCUUCCUUAGAAAGGAAGAAAUAUGUGUUUUUAAGUGCUAGGACAAUUCCACGUAACAUCACGGUUUGCAUCUAUACCCACAGUACGCAGAGAUUCAUGCAGAUGUCCAACAAAUUGAAAAGGCUUCAAAUAUAUUUUAUCUAGUUGUAUGUUUAACAGUAUUUACCUUUUGCCUUUCACAGGUUGCUUUAAAAUCUGACUAUGUAAUAACAUCCUCUGAAUGAUUUAAUUUAAGCUAACGUGCUAUCCCUUUAUGUAAAAAGUAAAGGUAUUUUGAAAGCCCUUGCUGAAUACUCUGAGGUUGCCUCUACUGUGUGGCUAGCACUGGGCUGAAUGCCUAGCAUCCGUGCGUAGAAGAGGGAACAACUGCUGCCCCUCCGAUCUGGCUAUUCUUGUAUCUGGAAACAUUGUCAGGUGCUACAAGCAUCACGCCAUCUGAAAGGCCAAAGUUGAGUACUACGUUAUUGGAGUAGAUGACACCUUAUUCUUAUUCUUCAACAAUUCUAACAACUUAGAGUCCCUCACUGUCCCUUUAUGAACACAGAUGUCAUUCUGAGGGGGGGGACAGCCAAAAUGACAAGAAGGUGACCUGUCGGUGAACUCAGGAGCAGGUGAGGCCUGUCAGCUUCUAAUUUGAAACUGGUGUCAGUCCUGAGGAAUGGCUGGUAUAAUCACAUUUGUAACUGAUAUCCUAUAAACGCUGCAAACAUUCACAGUGCGCCUGUUAUGAGUAAUAUGAAAUUAACAAUUCGUGUUUAUGACACAAGACACCGACCGAAUCAAGCAGGUCUCCGUAACUGGAUCAGCUCCGUCUGUCUGCCAGAGCAGCGCAUCGAACUGCUUCAACCAAAGCCAAAUUACUGUGUGCUUAUGUUACAAUAGGCAUUGUAUUUAUUUUGAAGACAAACUUUUGUAACUAGGCGUAAAGUGAGGACCUCAGAACCAGCUUCUCGCUCAAGUUAUUGCAUAUAAAACUUCUCUUGCUCGAGCCCAGCCAUUAAGAUGUUCGUGACUUUUAAGUUAAGAGUUUGGGACCUAACAAAUCACGUGUUGUAUCUCACAUUUUCUGAAUAACUGAAGGGAAGGCUCUGUGUAAAUCUUCUCUCUCAGACACAUAAAUUACCAGCUGCGUGAAUACUGCCAUUAAGACAAGCAGACAAGUGCGAGGGGUGGGGACAGGGCAGGAUGCCCCAAAGAGGUGGAGUUACAGAGAAAACAAGGCAUUUGCUUACUGAGUAAUUUAUGCUUCAUCUGCCUUCACUGUAGCUCGGUAAGAAUGAACACCAUGAGGCAGUCUGUCAGGCGCUCUCACUUCACUACCGCCAAGGCAUUUUUCUGCAAAUUAGGUAUUUGCUUCCUAUUUCUAGUCACUUCCACCUGGAUUUUUUAUUAGGAAAAGUCAAAAUCAUAGUAUCUGAAGCUAAGAUUUGAAUUGAAGUUACACUAAAAGAUAAACUGUUGCUCAAGUAUAUUUCACAUUUGAAGACAGCAAAAUCUCACAAUCCUUUGCACAAUUAUUUCCAGUCCAAACUGACAGAAGCUCUAAAGUUCGGGUCCUUUCCUGCCUGCACUGCUGCUGAGCCUGGUGCAUAGAUUAGAAGUUCCUUUCCAAUAACAAGCAAAAUAAAAGAAGAACCAUACGAAGAAUCUAUUGCAAUUGUUACACUGGAAUUUAGUUAGCAGAGCUACAAAAACGCAAGUCCAAAUCCCAAGUAGCUAGUGGAGAUUUCUGAACGGUUCUGUACACCUUCACGUAGACAAUCCAGUGGAGCUAACAACCUACUGUAGCACUCUUUUGUGAUAGGCAAAUACCAUUCAUUUCCAUUUUCCACAGAAGAACUGCACUCCACAGAGCUUCAGCAAUGUAAACAAGGCCAGGUACAGCAUUACAGCUGUGGUUCAGGCAACAACAUUCCUUGUCCUCUGACACAACACUUACACAUCAUACUUGUAACACUACCUAGUUCAAGUUGGUGGUCAAUACCACCUAAUUAGCAGAGUAAAAGUGCAAUUUUGAAACCAACUUACAAAACUGCUACAACCAACCUACAAAACUCCAUCAUACCAAAGAAAAAUUAUGGCUCUAAAUUUCACAAUCACUCUCUGCCAACCAAAAACUCACCUUUAAGAAGAGUCAGGGCUGAAAGCUGAAAGUUGAGGCAGUCAUCUCUCAACGUGUAGAACUCCUCACGUUGCUACGAAGGUACAGCACGGUUGUUCAGUGUUUGGAUAAAGUACUGCAUGGGAACUGUUGAAUCACAGCCUGAACCACCAAUUGAUCACCUGAGGCAAGGACUGAAUCAGCUGUGGGAGCACAGGUGAAAGCAAUUCAGCUAUGUGACCAGAAGCUGUGUGACCACAUUCCACCCCUCCCAGACCCCAUUUAAGGGCUGACUAACACUGGGGAAGAAUCUCCUUGUGGUGAUCCCUCCUUUGUGGAGCUUUUCAGUGUGAGCCUAAAUCUUUGCAUACAGGUGAGCAGUUCUUCUCUGUUUGUUCCUUUGCUAUCUCACUGCAGUACUCUUUCCAACUGUGCUUUGUAGACUAUACAACUACUUUGGUGGCUACUCAGAGAUUUUUUAGGAACUGAUAACAUAUGUUUUAAUUUUCCUCCUACUUGCACAGGUAUAAUUAUAUUAAUUCCCCACAUAGUUUAUGAGAAGAGCCUGCCCUGUGGAACAAGACCCAGCACAGCAGCAGGUUCCUGCAGCACCAGGUCAGCUCCAGAGGCUGAUAUCAGCAGCACCACCUCACAUAGCUCCUAGAGCUGGUAGGGUGCAGUGCCUCAGCUGGAUUGCUGCUGUAGCUUACCUGCAGGAGCCUUCUGCAUCACUGGUCAUAUAAAAUGCUCCUCUGCCAACAGAUGGAUUGCUUAUCAUUUUGAUUACUGGCUGUAAAUGUUCGUUAUUUUUUCAUUUCCUAGCUAAGCAAGCUUAUGUGUGUGUAUACAUUUUCUACAGUUUUCAUUAGAGUAACACUAAGACCUGGCAUAAGGCCAGGAGAGAGAAACUUAGAAUUAUUGAUUAAAAAAUACUCUUAGUUUCUUCCAGACCUUCAUUGUGACCCUCAUACUCCUGACGUUAAGGAGCAGCUGGCACCCCUCAGCUCAGCCCAUUACCUCUAGGGCUCCCCUGAGCACCUUGCACCCACCUGGCAGUGCUGUAGAAAGGAGGCUGUAGUGGGUGAUGCUGAGCUUCUGCUCCCAGUGCUGGGCCCAUGUGAGGCUGCUAGAAAACCAAAAGAAAACAUGGAGGGGGGGGGGGGGGGGGGAAAGCCCACAAAAAAAAAACCACCGUGAUCUGUUCUCGAAGGUGGAAAGUGGAAGAAUAAGACAAAAGCCUCUGUGGUCAGAGUAGACAUCUCUUAAGAUCUUGAGAAAAUUCCCCAUACAUAGAAAGAAGCAGCAGAGCACAUCUGUUUUCAUGACAUAGUUUGGUAAUAUCUUGAGCACUGCACUUCCUCUUGACCUCACAGCACCGCUUUCUGUUCAUACAAUUAAUACGGGGAAGACACCAUUCCCACCAACUUUCAUUUUGAAGAUAAACAAAAUCACUCCUUUCAGGGUAAUCUUGAAGAAAUGAACUGCAGCAAAUCUACAACCAGGCAUACCCAGUGAAGAGAUGUUGGAGGGAAAAUGGGGAUAUAAAUGUAUGGCCCAAUUCUAAUUUUAUUCAUUUCUAGUACAUUGGGGUAGGCAGAAUUGGAGUAGGAAAAAAAGGAAGUUUGACUUCUGGGGUUGUCUUUCUAUAUCAUGCUGAAUGGAGAGCAACACAGCACAUAAUCUCACUGGGUGGGAGAUGGGACUUGAACAUGAGGUAUUUCUCUAAGCAGCUUGAAUCAAGGGCUUAAGCACGAGCAGCCUGUAUCUCAUCCAGCUCCUGUAACUGCUAUCUUGUGGGGAUCUUAUCCCAGACUUCAUGAAUAUUUAGCGAGGCUUCCAAAAUAAAUUGGCACUCUCAGUAUACACUGAGACCAUGAACCAAUGAUUGGGAAACUAGUCUGGUUCAAAUCCUUGCUCUGCUCCGUUCCCUCGCAGGUGUAGUGACAAGUUCAUAAAUAACAGCUCUUUGCUGACUGUAGGGCUCCCAUACACGAGUGCCCUAAUCAGUGAAGAAUUUUUUUUCCCCUCUAUACAGCAGUUCCAUCUGCUUCAGAAAGUUUCCCCUCAAAACCAAUGCAUUUACAAGGUAAGUGCUAGUUUUGGUGACUCAGUGCUUUCUUUAAAAAGAAUACCACAGUAUUUCAGUCAAAAACCAUAAUCAACAUGAACUGAAAUGACACAGGUUUCUAAGCCCUUGGCUGCAUGGCAGCCUGCGUGCAGCCCCGAGGCAAGUUCCAGCACUGCAGCAGCGACCAAUGAAAAAUCCUUGAAGCAGAAAGGCAGCAUUAAAGCCAUCCAUUAAGCAGUGUUUACGUUUACUGUGAGGUGAAUUACAAAAACUCCCUGGCAGUGUUUGAAAUCUGAGGGCCUAGGAAAGCCAUCUGGGAAUGGUACCUCAGACACAUACUGUUAUCGUAGUAGCAAAAUUGAUGGCUGCAUCUUACCUGCUGGAGCUCUUCUUCUGCUUCCCCAGGAAUCAGCACAGCAAAGGCAGUGGGAUGCCCACAGCCUUUCCUGUUUCUUCUCAUUGGUGUAGGCCUGCAGAAGGACAAUAUAGAUUUAGUCAAAGGAGACAGCAUGGAAGCAGACCUGGAUGCAUGUGACAGAACUGGAGGCAUCCCAGCAUAAUUAAUGAGCAGUGGAGCAAGUUGUUAUUUAUGUUGCCUGUUUCUAAUGAAUGGGAAUUAGUCAUGUCUUUGAUUCUUAGGUGGCUAUUUAUGCUGCUUAUCUGAUAUCUGAAAGGAAACUGUUCUGAAUAUUUUCUAGUCCAAGGAGGACUGGGUGGCUAAAACAAGACCUAACUUGUGCUUUUGGCAAAACAUUAGGAAACUAGUUUCCAAUUUUGGAAGUGUCUGCAUGUAGUUUUCCAUAGGUUUUUUUUCUUUCUUUGAGUUUUCCUGACUUCAGUCAGGAGGUGAAAUGCCAGAAAUACCCAGAGACAACAUAUCCAACAAGACCGCUCCCCCACAGGCACUGCAGCCCACCGGGUGUUUUUCCAAACCACCCCUGAACUCUGAACCUCCAAAUCAUUCACAGAUCUCUUCCACUGGGAGAUGAAACCACAUCGCUGCACGACUGCAGGAAGGAGCAUGGUGGGGAGCCGUGAGGAAAGCUGUGCUUUCCAUUGCCUUCCUGAGCUGGGAUGAGUGGUGGCCGCGCUCGCUGCAUCAGCCUCUGCUCGGGCUGGGCGCUGUGAGGGAUAAGCACGAGCUGGGCAGCAUUAGUCCUGUGGUCACCCAGAGCGUGAGCACUGCCCUGUUUCUGCUCCAGCUGAAGCCUGAAUGGAGCUUAGCUGGGAGAGGCCUCCAUUUCCCAUUACACAAUGGUAUUUUCUGUUAGACACUAAAGCCCUCUGUCCCUGAUGAUAAGCUGGUUUUUAUUAUAAAAUAUAACAGUUGUAUUUUACACAGCUCUUCUGUACAAUGCAAUUUACGGAGCUAUUCUGCUGGCUCUGUCAUUGACAGGGUGCCCUUUACAGCAGGACUUGUAGCACACCAAAAUUUUCAUGAUCCUAAGCUAGCGGGAAAAGAAAUAUUUCCAUGGGUGAAAAUUCCGGUUAGGUAACUAUUAUUGAAGUGUGUACGAGAUUGCAUGUCAAAACAUUUUUAUUGUUAGCUGGUUGGAAUCACAUUGACUGACAGCAGCAGUUUAACAACUGAAGCACAGCGCAGUUUGUUAUUGUACCUGUUUCUCCAUGGAACAGCUCUGUAUUUUAGCAGCUGCUAUCAUUUCUAAGUUACGAAGCCUGCCUUUAGAAAUGUGUGUUCCCUCUCUCCCACUUACAGUACCCUUACUGAGCUGGCACAAGACAAGCGAGUAAUAAAAGGAAUGUAAAGUGUUUUAAUUUUGUCUUGUUAUAUGGCAUUACAUUGCCAUGGCCUCUUGAUAACAUAACAAAUGUAUACAGGAAAUACAGCUCAAGUGAGCAUGGAAACAGUGGGAGGAGAAGGGGUGUUAGGUUUGGUUGCUUGGUGGGGGCUGUUUGUGCUGGCUUUUCUUGGGGGAGCGGGGGGUGGAGGGUGGUUAAGACAGAACCCAAUUGUGUUCCUCUAAUUACAGAGUUAAUGGAGACGCUCCAAACAGAGGAUUAAGUGGAAAGCAGAGUUUUGCAGCAACCUGAGAUAUUAAAAGGAAAACCAACUGACAGAGCAGAAAAAAGACAGCCAACUUACGGCAACGCGGCAGUAUUUUCCACCAAAAAGUCGCCGUUAAAUCCCCCGCAAUUACUCACAGCUAUCGGGGUGCGCAGUGGCCGUGACACCCGUCUGAGCUGCACAUCACAGACACUGUAACUGCUGGGCUCACCUGAAUGUGUUCCCACGUGCCAUGCACUGCUGGCGCUCUCAUGGCUCCACACAAUGCCUGCAUUUCACCCGACAUCGCGCUUCAACACCGUGGCAUGGCUGCAUUAGCUGCUGCUGGAGGACAAAUAAGGAAAGGAAACGGGAAAGGAGGCGGAGUCCAUCCCUGGCUUCCUCAUACUUUCAUUUGAAUGGGAUUUGGAUUCUGCCUGUCAUUGUGAAGUAGACUGGAAAAGAGUACUGUCAACACAGAUGAAGACUCAGUGUGAAUAAAAUUAAAAUAAUUAAGUUCUGUUCAACAUCAGUUUGGCCCUGCUUGAGUUGCCAGGACUCCGUACACAAUUUGGGAUGGGGGUUGGGUUUUUUUUUUCGUUGACUGUGGUUUCCUUGGUUGGAAUGCUAUGUCUAAGACCACCAUCCAGGAGAAUGAAGGUCUUCCACCCAAGGGCAACAUCUGUUAUCUACACAUUUGGAUAUUGUGUCCAAAACAGGAGAUAUCAGCUUUGGAGGAACGCGAUUUCAGAGUAUGAAGCAGUUCCAAAGACCACUUGGACUUGAUCUCCAAAUGCCUGAGAUAGAUACAAGCCUUGAAAGUGACCCUCGACACCCUGGGAUCUUCUGUGUAAAAGGCUGAAGCACCCAGGGGGUGUAUCCUUGACUGUGCUGCUGAGUCAAUUAAUUACAGUGCUCGAAAUAAAAUGAAGCUUUGGUUAAGAGUGCAAUAUGAAUUUGGGUGUAACCAAGCUAUGGUGAGGUCCCCUCCAAAGGAGCAAGAUUAAAUAUGGCUGUAUGAGCCAGCACUAAUCUACUGAGAAGUGGGCAUGCUGGACCAUAGGCAGCCAGCAGUUCGCAGCACAUUGGGGUGCUCCCAUGGCCUGCAGAGAAGAGGGCUACAUGAGACAAGUGUCCCCCUCCAGAGCUUCAAAUGGACCUGAAGCUCCAUGCUUCUCCCCGUGGGAACAAGCUCAAUUUUGUGCUUUGGUCUAAAGAGAGAUCAAGAAGCACUACCAGAACCAGAGCCAGAAAGGAAUGGGUAAUGGGGUGAGUAAGAAGCCUACCAAACCUGUUCAGACUGCUCCUGGGAAGAACAACAGUGACAGCAGAUGGCAGUGCCCAGGAAAUGACUGGGGCUGGUGGGCAGCACUAUUCAGCACUUCCAGCACUAAUUUGAUAGCUGGUGGGCAGUGGUGAAGGGAAAGCAAUGGGGUCAGGUGGGAUGAGGCCACUCUGGAUAGACACUGUUCCUAUCUCUCAGACCUAAAUGCCCCUCCUUACAGGGGCAGGUGCUCAACAAUUCGCUCCAGCUCCAGUGCAGAGCAGAGGGAGCUGUUCUGAAAAUGUAAAACAAAGAAGAAAAAUAACGUUUGGCUAGAAGAAGGACUUUGCAAAAUUUCAUAAGCACAUCAUGGGGAUUUAUUUAAAUACUCUUUCAAAACUUGCAUAACAAGGAAGUAGAUGCAGAUAAUUCUUAUGCGUCUCACCAACACUACAAACAAGACCCAUUUUUCAAUGACAGUAUUGAAAAUGUUUCCUCCCUUGAGUUACACGUAGUCAAGAUUGUCACAUGGGGAUUUUUAAAAAAAUCCCUUAAGCUGGGAAUAUUUAAGAUAACUUUCAGAAGAUCUCUGUCUACAUUUCACUGUUUUAAGUCUCCUUUCAUAAUUAUGUUUAAUGUAACCUCUGCAAAACAAAUAAAAUCACUCAUUUCCAACAGACAUUCACCCACUGCAAUGAGCUCAAAGAAAGACAGACAAUAGCAGAGGAUAAGCGGCUGAGAGUGGACAGCCACGUCCUCCAGCCAAGCAAACCCCAGAAAGUAAGACAGUGUUUUUCAUCGGUCCUUUACAGUUCAGCAUUUAGAGCUGUCACAUUUCUCACCUCACAGAAAGUCCCACUGAAGGACAUCUAGCAGAGCUCUCUCCCUCUCACUAGCAGCCCUCUGCUAUGCACACGAGCCACAGCUUAAUGCAGAUACAUACAUUUUUACCAGCUCUUCCUUAAAGUAUCUGCUUUUUACUGGCUCAGCUUUUUUUGACGCUGUUAUACCUUUGAAAUGAAACUCGAGAGUCCACCUUUCAUUCAAAUAGGGAUGUAAAUUCCCUAGGAAACUGGUUCAUAUUCUUUAGGAAUGUCUGCAUUUUCACAAGAGUCAAAGAACCCAAAUGUCUACAUUAUAGGUCUAAGUUAUGUGCAAUUUAACAAGGGUUAGAGUAACAACAGAAACAAUUCAGAAAAGUAUACGUUUGUAAUUUAAUUAUUCAAUUAUUCCCUUCUAAAGUUCUUAAUAAAUAUUUAAAUAUUGCACACAGCAAGAUAAGUGAAACAUCAACAUUGCAACAUGGCACCGAUUCAGGAUGCACCAUUGGAUAUUGGACUCAUCAGGCCUUUAGGACACAAGCUAGUCAGUGAACAUCAAGUAUAUUUUUUGAUGAACUAUUUGCAAAUUAGAUGUAUUACAAAUGUUUGCUCAUUUAAUUAGAAUAUAAAAGAUGAUUUCUUU
rnacentral:lncRNA from 1 species